rnacentral:rRNA from 1 species
GCUCCAAUAGCGUAUAUUAAAGUUGUUGCAGUUAAAAAGCUCGUAGUUGAAUUUCGGGGUCGGUAGGUUGGUCGUGCCUAUGGUAUGCACUGGCCUUACUGAUUCCUCCUUCUUGAAGAACUGUAAUGUCAUUUAUUUGGUGUUGCAGGGAAACAGGACUGUUACUUUGAAAAAAUUAAAGUGUUAUAAAGCAGGCAA